UCGGAGGAAGAGAUGGAUGAUCAUCGCAGACUGCUGGAUUUCUCCCGGAGGCCCCAGAUAAUCUUACACCGAAUAGAUUUCCUGAAGUGUAACGUUUAUAACCUGGAGAGGAGAUCCACUCCGGACCAGGAGGAGUUAGAACCUCUGCAGGUGAAACAAGAACAGGAAGAGCCUGAAGAUCAUCAGAUAAAAGAAGAGCAGGAGGAUCUAAAACACCAGCAGAUAAAAGUGGAAGA